rnacentral:rRNA from 1 species
UACGUAGGUGACAAGCGUUGUCCGGAUUUACUGGGCGUAAAGCGCACGUAGGCGGAUUUGUAAGUCAGGGGUGAAAUCCCGGGGCUCAACCUCGGAACUGCCUUUGAUACUGGGGAUCUCGAGUCCGGGAGAGGUGAGUGGAACUGCGAGUGUAGAGGUGAAAUUCGUAGAUAUUCGCAAGAACACCAGUGGCGAAGGCGGACUCACUGGCCCGGAACUGACGCUGAGGUGCGAAAGCGUGGGG